UACAGAGGGUGCGAGCGUUAAUCGGAAUUACUGGGCGUAAAGCGCACGUAGGCGGCUUGGUAUGUCGGGUGUGAAAUCCCCGGGCUCAACCUGGGAACUGCAUCCGAAACUGCCUUGCUAGAGUAUGGGAGAGGGAAGUGGAAUUUCCGGUGUAGCGGUGAAAUGCGUUGAUAUCGGAAGGAACGCCGGUGGCGAAAGCGACGUGCUGGACCUCUUCUGACGCUGAGGCGCGAAAGCCAGGGGAGCGAACGGG
rnacentral:rRNA from 1 species